rnacentral:rRNA from 1 species
UACGUAGGGUGCAAGCGUUAAUCGGAAUUACUGGGCGUAAAGCGUGCGCAGGCGGUGAUGUAAGACAGGUGUGAAAUCCCCGGGCUUAACCUGGGAACUGCAUUUGUGACUGCAUCGCUGGAGUGCGGCAGAGGGGGAUGGAAUUCCGCGUGUAGCAGUGAAAUGCGUAGAUAUGCGGAGGAACACCGAUGGCGAAGGCAAUCCCCUGGGCCUGCACUGACGCUCAUGCACGAAGCGUGGGGAGCAACAGG